rnacentral:rRNA from 1 species
CCUACGGGAGGCAGCAGUGGGGAAUCUUCCGCAAUGGACGAAAGUCUGACGGAGCAACGCCGCGUGAGUGAUGACGGCCUUCGGGUUGUAAAGCUCUGUUAAUCGGGACGAAAGGCCUUCUUGCGAAUAGUGAGAAGGAUUGACGGUACCGGAAUAGAAAGCCACGGCUAACUACGUGCCAGCAGCCGCGGUAAUACGUAGGUGGCAAGCGUUGUCCGGAAUUAUUGGGCGUAAAGCGCGCGCAGGCGGAUAGGUCAGUCUGUCUUAAAAGUUCGGGGCUUAACCCCGUGAUGGGAUGGAAACUGCCAAUCUAGAGUAUCGGAGAGGAAAGUGGAAUUCCUAGUGUAGCGGUGAAAUGCGUAGAUAUUAGGAAGAACACCAGUGGCGAAGGCGACUUUCUGGACGAAAACUGACGCUGAGGCGCGAAAGCCAGGGGAGCGA